CCUACGGGAGGCUGCAGUGGGGGAUAUUGGACAAUGGGGGCAAGCCUGAUCCAGCGACGCCGCGUGAGCGAAGAAGUCUUUCGGGAUGUAAAGCCCUAUCAGCAGGGAAGAAGAAAUGACGGUACCUGACUAAGAAGCACCGGCUAAAUACGUGCCAGCAGCCGCGGUAAUACGUAGGGUGCAAGGGUUAUCCGGAUUUACUGGGUGUAACGGGAGCGCAGGCGGCACGGCAAGCCUGAUGUGAAAGCCAGCGGCCCAACCGCCGGACUGCAUUGGGAACUAGCGGGCUGGAGUGCCGGAGAGGUAGGCGGAAUUCCUAGUGUAGCGGUGAAAUGCGUAGAUAUUAGGAGGAACACCAGUGGCGAAGGCGGCCUACUGGACGGCGACUGACGCUGAGGCUCGAAAGCGUGGGGAGCAAACAGGAUUAGAUACCCCAGUAGUC
rnacentral:rRNA from 1 species